UGUAAACAAGUACUUUUCAUUAGCUGACAAGCUUGAAUUUUAUGUUGUCAUAUUAUUAAUUAAAACAAUAUUUGAAUAAUAUUUUUACUUAAUUAAAAUUACCUAUUAUUUGCUACUUAAUAAUUAGUAAUUGGUUUUGUUCAUUCAACUUGCUGCAAAUAACCAUCAUCCAUUGUUGUUAAUAUUAUGUUAUUAUCAGUAUUUUUUUAUUUUUUCAAUUGUCAUGGCGAAUCAAGAUCAAAAAUUGGUUGCUCAAGUGACAGAUGGUCCAACAAUCAAAUCUAAAACUAUACUGCUCUAACUUCUUAUGACUAAUAUAUUUUAAAUGACAAUGAAAAUUACAUGAUGAUGGUACUCAAUCUUGGUUUUACAAACAUCUCAAGUCAGAGCUUAGAAAUGUACCGAAUGAUACUCGUGAUACUUUAUAAUGCUUUGAAUUAUAUUGCACUUGUUUAUUUAGUACAAUGAUAAUAAAGAAAAUUUUUACUAUUAUUAUAUAA
rnacentral:lncRNA from 1 species